ACCUAAAGAGUUCCGACUUUUGUCUGCGGCAAAACCAAACAAACAAGUUCCAACGCAUCCAUUCGCGACUCUGGAAGAUUUUGGCUCGUUUAGAGGUGCAAGCUUAUGCUAUUUUUCGUGCUCCUAGACUCUGGUCCUGACGCUGAUUCGCUAAGCUUGGAUUGACAAUCAUGGAAGCGAAGAAUGUGACAGAUGAGACAUGGAGGAGGAGAGAGAGAGAGAGAGAGAGAGAGAGAGAGAGAUUGUAACAAGCGUGAUGAGGAUAGUGAGCAAGAGAUUGACCUCAGAAGGAUCUAAUAUCUCUCCUUCUCGGAGCUAUAGCUAGGAUCUGUCCCAAGCUAAAAGUUAUAUCUAUCUACUGGAACGUUAGGUAAUAUUAUGUCACGCUUCUUGAUUUGUACCUCAUCAGAGCUACUAAUUCUAGGAUUACUUUUCACAAGGUGGCUGAUGAUCGCAUUAGACAUCUAGUGAAGAAUUGCAGAAACAUCAUUGAUCUGAACCUAAGUGGCUGCAGGGUAUCUUGAUUCUAUUUCCUCAGCUUGUUUGGGAUAGUUGGAGUAAAUAAAUGUCUGGAGACUCUCUCCAAAACCUGCUCUGCUACACUCACUCACCACUCUUGAUGUCUGCAUCGGUGUUAAGAGGCGAAGCCGUGAAGAACUGCUUCAGAUGUUCCCUCGUCUGACAUGCUUCAAAGUAUACAGCUAAUUUGCUCUUAACUCCAGGACUAUCAACAAUGGGACAUGACAAGUGGAAGGGAGGCUCAUUGCACGGUUGGCAUCAACUUUGAAUCCUAAACCAGGAUCAUCCCUGUCUUUGACAAGAGUGCAGAGACAUCUCUUGGUCUGCCCUUUGUCUAGUUUUUCUUUCAGUGUUGUG